AGGAAAGGGCUCCAAUACCUUACAUUGAAAAGGGAAGUGGAUGCGCAGGGCGGCUCCCAUGUGUAUUACACUCUUGUGAAAAAUGAGCUGGGAGAAGAGACACAACCUCUGUCAGAACUGGCACCUGCCAGCAGGCAGAUCGGAAGGCGACCGUCUCUCUUGUUUCACAGGACUCUCCCGGUGGCUGCGUGGCUGACAGCGUCACCUCUGACUCCGGUGCUGUUCUAGGAAUCCCGUCUGGAGCUUUACAGGCGAGUUGCAGGAAUCACGGGCGACACUCUGCAAAAGAGGAAACUGGAGCCAAUAUCAGGGCAGCCCAGCGGGCACGGAAGGGGAGGAAGCCGGUACUGAAGCAGAAGAGUGGCAUUCAGGGGGCGACCCCGGCACUGGCUCCCUGGGCUGGUUCCUCUCAGGGCUGGCCAGGCCUGCAGCUGCCCUACUCGAGGCUCACCCCAGGGUGUGCAGUGGGUGGAAGGCUGGAAUCCCCCACAUCGUGGGCCUCUGCUGGGCUUGCUGAGGCUCAGGGCUGGGCGGGCACUCCCAGGACUGGCCCCCCGGCCUGGUCAGGGCCCAAGGGGCACAGGCCUCACUCCUCCCCCAUGGAGCUGGGAAUAGAGGAACUGUUUUGUGGUUAGAGCUCCCAACACACAGGAAAAUCCCACCAGAAGCCUCAGGGCAGGGCCCGGAAACUGCGUGUGCAGAGGUCCCCGAGUCACCACAGUGCCCCCAAGGCACUGUGUCCUUGUCUCUGAUAUGGGCUGAUGGCAAUGCCCUAUCUGCCACGUGGACGACAGAGGCACAGAUGAGGAGGGAGGCCACAAGCCCAGGAGCGCCGGAGCCAUCAGGAGCCACGGGAGACAAGAGGGACACCCCGAAGCCUUCAGGGAGAACACGUCUCCAUCUUGCUCUUCCAUGUCCAGAGCUGGGGGAGAAUAUGUUUCUGUUGCUGUAUGCCCAUCAUUCUGGGGUACUGUUAAAAGCAGGCCAUCACCCAGGAAAGCACAGAGCUGGAGCUGCUUGAGUGACUCACACGCAAGUAUCACACUCAGGCAUUCAGGGAAGCUUUGAGAGAUCCACCUGCUCCCUCGGCAUGUAAAGGAGGUCCUAGGGUUGGGCUGAGGGGCGUCUGCUCUGUAGGAGCUGGAACGGCAAGGCCACAUCCUAGGCUGGGGAGCUGAGGGUGCAACCAGCUUGUCCCUGGGAAGGUGAUGUACAGAUUUCCAGCUUCACCACACGCCCAUCACCCUCGA
rnacentral:lncRNA from 13 species